AGGAUAAAACGCUCACCGGGAUAAAAUCCCCGCCUGCUAAUGAAUCAUUUUCGUUCAUUACCGCGCCUCUUGUCUCCUGAAAAGUAAAAACACCCGCGUAUUGGCAACGUAGUCCGAUGUUUUUGCUGUUUUUUUACUCCAUAAAUAAAGAAGAUAAC
rnacentral:sRNA from 28 species